GUGGGUUUCAGUGGUUACCUGCUGAGGCGGCAUUGGGCAUGGAGCAUCCGAGGGUCCAAGCUUUCCCCUGAGAGGCCUCACACUUGAACUUAGAGGAAGAGUGAGUGGCCCUGGAGCUGGGCCUUCCAGUAGGAGCAGGGUUUCUGCAGGGAAGCAGAGAGAGGAGCCCGGGAGAAGGCACACGGGUUCUUCUCAGCCACCGUCAACAACCCCAGCUGCUACCAAGAUGAGGAAACUGCCGCUCAGAGACGGCAGCCGACCCAGCCAAGGCCGCACAGCCAGGAUUCAAAGCCAUACCGCUCAGCUCCUGCCUCCAGGCUCUGCCUUUGCAUGUGGCUUCUCCUGGCUCCUGGACCCUUCCCCGGCCCUCCCAGCUGGCUGUGCUGUGACAGUGGGCGGGGGAGUGCCAAGGCUCUGCCCUGCCCCCCGCCCUUGGCAUCUCCGGUCAAUAUGGCACUCACAGCUCCCUGGGCAUGGACCCCCUCCUGCCAUCCCCACUUAAAGUGAUACUUUAAUAAAUUAUGCUUUUAUGUUAUUACACGUGGAGCUAU
rnacentral:lncRNA from 1 species